rnacentral:rRNA from 1 species
GACGAACGCUGGCGGCGUGCCUAAUACAUGCAAGUCGAACGCAGUGGGGACGGGUGAGUAACACGUGGGUAACCUCCCAUCAGAGGGGAUAACACUUGGAAACAGGUGCUAAACCGAUACUGAUGGAUGGACCCGCGGUGCAUUAGCUAGUGGGUGAGGUAACGGUUCACAAAGGCCAGGAUGAAGAGCCGAACGGAGAGGGUUAGCGGCAACACUGGGACUGUGCCAAGUCCAAGACUCCUACGUGAGGCAGCAGUAGGGAAUCUUCGGCAAUGGACGAAAGUCUGACCGAGCAACGCCGCGUGAGUGAAGAAGGUUUUCGUAUCGUAAAACUCUGUUGUUAGAGAAGCGGUAUCUAACCAGAAAGCCACGGCUAACUACGUGCCAGCAGCCGCGGUAAUAC